GACGAACGCUGGCGGCGCGCCUAACACAUGCAAGUCGAACGAGCGAGCGAGAGCUUGCUUUCUCGAUCGAGUGGCGAACGGGUGAGUAACGCGUGAGGAACCUGCCUCAAAGAGGGGGACAACAGUUGGAAACGACUGCUAAUACCGCAUAAGCCCACGGUGCCGCAUGGCACAGAGGGAAAAGGAGCAAUUCGCUUUGAGAUGGCGUCGCGUCCGAUUGGCUAGUUGGUGGGGUAAUGUCCCACCAAGGCGACGAGGGGUAGCCGGGAGGAGAGGCUGAACGGCCAGAAUGGGGAUGAGACACGGCCCAGAAUGCUACGGGAGGGAGCAGUGGGGAAUAUUGCACAAUGGGGGAAAACGUGAUGCAGCGACGCCGCGUAGAGGAAGAAGGUCUUCGGAUUGUAAACUCCUGUUGUUGGGGAAGAUAAUGACGGUACCCAACAAGGAAGCGACGGCUAACUACGUG
rnacentral:rRNA from 1 species